AAAUUGGCAGCUUGGAAGGCUUGUUUACUUUCUUUUUCAUAAUAUGCUUAUCUAUAGCUUUUUUAUUUAUUAUUGCCCAAUAUCUCUUAUCAAUGUCAUUGAGGGAUGGAUUAGAAACUUUGUGUGGUCUGGUGACAUUGACCAUAAAAAAAAAAAAAGAUGAUUACUGUAGUUUGUCUUAAGGUGUGCACUUCUACCAAGGAUGAGGCUUUGGGUUGAGAUAUAUAAGGGGACAUCAAUGAGGCUGCCACCCUCAAGCUAUGUUGGGAGCUGAUAACUUCAAAUUACCAAUGGGUCAUUCUUCUAAGGGUUGAAGUGUUGAGAUAUAAAGGAUCUAAUUUUUGUCAUAUUUUUUCUACUAUUUGGACUGGUUUGAAGCACUGAGUUUUUCAUUACCAAGGAGCAUGGGCAAUGGUGAGCACAUUAAUUUGUGGCAUGAUAAAUGGCCCAAUGUAGUUAUGACUAAUCUUUUCAGUAUUCCCGAGGAAAGGCAUUAUCUGCUUAAUGCUAAGGUGGACAUUAAUAAUGUGCAUAUUGUGAUUGAGAUUUGUAAUAAAUCUUGGAUUUGUGAGCUUUAUUUAAGUUCAUGUGCCUAAUGCUCCUUGCAUUAAGGAAGUGUUAUAGACUUAUAGUAGUCCCCAUCCUUAACAAAGCCAAGUGUAAUAUAUAUGGUACUGGUAACUGAUAAUGGUUUUUUAGGCCUUGAAGCUUGUGGAGGGACUCAAAUGUUAAUUUUUUAGGUGGAUUUGUUGGCAAUUUGAAUAUCGCUACUGCUUUCAAAGUUGAGUUACAUGGGUUGGUGAAUGCUAUUAAGAUAGUUAUAAGAAGAAUUGGAAUAGGCUUUGGUUAGAGGUUGGCUCUCAACUAGUUAUUAUGGAUUUCAAAAGUUCUAGUAUUAUUCUUUGGCAUCUAAGGAUUAGAUGGUUGAAUUGUAUGGAGCUUACAAAGAACAUGCAGUUUUACAUUUCUCAUAAUUUUAGAGUGGACAACCACUAUACAGAUAAAAUUGCUUCUAUUGGCCUUCAACAAAAUGACUUGAUUUGGAUGGUUUCUACUCCACUAUGCAUUUUAGAUUCUUUGAAUUAUAAUAUAUUGGGGUUUACUAAAUUCAUAUUAAUUGAUGUUGAUAUUUGUCAAGGA